rnacentral:rRNA from 1 species
GAGGAAUAUUGGGCAAUGCCCGCAAGGGUGACCCAGCAACGCCGCGUGGAGGAUGAAUGUCGUUAGAUUGUAAACUCCUGUUAGAGGGGAAGAAUAGUACCGGUUGGACCGGUAUAUGACUGUAUCCUCAGAGAAAGCCCCGGCUAACUACGUGCCAGCAGUCGCGGUAAUACGUAGGGGGCAAGCGUUGUCCGGAUUUACUGGGUGUAAAGGGCGCGCAGGCGGGAUAAAAAGUCAGUGGUGAAAUCCUACAGCUUAACUGUA